GGUUCCAUAGUGUAGCAGUUAGCACGUCUGCUUUACACACAGAAGGUCCUGGGUUCGUGCCCCAGUGGAGCCA
rnacentral:tRNA from 1 species